rnacentral:rRNA from 1 species
AAUCAACGCUGGCGGCGUGCCUCAGACAUGCAAGUCGAACGCGAAAGUCCCCUUCGGGGGAUGAGUAGAGUGGCGUCCGGGUGAGUAACACGUAGGUAAUCUACCUUUGGGUGGGGAAUAACAACCGGAAACGGUUGCUAAUACCGCAUAAUGCAGCGGCACCACAUGGUGACAGUUGUUAAAGCGGGGGAUCGCAAGACCUCGCGCCUAAAGAGGAGCCUGCGGCGGAUUAGCUAGNGGUAGGGUAACGGCCUACCAAGGCAACGAUCCGUAGCCGGCCUGAGAGGGCGGGUCGGCCACACUGACACUGAAAUACGGGUCAGACUCCUACGGGAGGCAGCAGUCGGGAAUUUUGGGCAAUGGGCGAAAGCCUGACCCAGCAACGCCGCGUGAAGGAUGAAAUCCCUCGGGAUGUAAACUUCGCAAGAACAAGGAAGAAUAAAGUAGGGGACAAUACCCCCUAUGAUGACGGUACUGUUUGUAAGCUCCGGCUAACUCCGUGCCAGCAGCCGCAGU